rnacentral:misc_RNA from 1 species
UCUCCGUUGGUGAACCAGUGGGGGGAUCAUUACAGAGUUGCAAAACUCCCAAACCAUUGUGAACGUUACCUAUCCCGUUGCUUCGGCGGGCGGCCCGGGCCCCGCGCCCGGCGCCCCCCGGCCCCCCGUGGGCGCCCGCCGGAGGUAAACCAAACCCUUGAAUUGCAUGGCCUCUCUGAGUCUUCUGUACUGAAUAAGUCAAAACUUUCAACAACGGAUCUCUUGGUUCUG